rnacentral:rRNA from 1 species
UACGGAGGGUGCAAGCGUUGCUCGGAAUUAUUGGGCGUAAAGGGUAGGUAGGUGGUCUCAUUUGUCUGGGGUGAAAGCCUUGAGCUUAACUCAAGAAAUGCCCCAGAAACGGUGAGACUGGAGUCCUGGAGAGGGUCGUGGAAUUCCCGGUGUAGCGGUGAAAUGCUUAGAGAUCGGGAGGAACACCAGAGGCGAAAGCGGCGACCUGGACAGGCACUGACACUCAACUACGAAAGCGUGGGGAGCAAACAGG